UGUCCCCUCCACUGGAUCUCACAGUCUGGCAGGGGCGACGAGGCCAGAGCAGGUAGAAUGAGACACAGAGGAUGGGUGGGGGGUGAAAGUGGUGAGAUUCACCCUCAGCCACCAGUUGAUGGAGAGAUCCUAACCCUUGAUCAGCAGGCUUCUAAGACACCUCCCGCCACCGCAUCCCUUGAGGCCAGUGCCUGAGGCUGGAUCCCUGAGCCCUCUUUCUGCACCCGCACAGUUUCUGGAGGAGGACCGUGUCAUGGUUAGGACACACGUGGGUUCAAGACCAGACACCUCAACUCUGCAGACCUGGCUUCCUCACCUAUGACAUCCCUCCUCCCAGGUUUGCUGGAAAGAUUGAACCAGCCGGACACAACCAGUGCCUGGAGUCGGCCUGGCAUAGUACUGAAUUGUUCACAGCUGGCAGCGUGGCCGAAUGACUCACCCCUCCCGGAAGGAUGCCCAUGUCAACCCAGCAGCUUCAUGCAGGUCAACGCUUGUUCCCUCAGCACCCAGAAGGUUUAGAAACUACUUAGAAGAAGCCAGUGUGAGGAAUAAAUGGGCCCAGCUGCACAAGGACGUAUCCUUGAGAUGAGAGGAUGGCCAGGAGCUGGAGAAGAAAUCCUGGGGCAGUAAUUUGAGGCUGCUGAGAGAUGUGGCACUGACACCGCUGACAUCCGUCUUCCGUUUGCAACAAGCUGUGGCAACUCCACUUUCCCCACCCCACCUCCACCAACUGGCUUCUCUUCUGCUGGGGGUAGGGGUGGGGACUGAAUGGCUGGGCAGUCGGUGGUGGGUGGGGAGGGGCAUUCCUUCCUCAUUUACCAUGAUCUGUCCCCCUCAGCCUAAGGGAAGCAUUUGGGAAGAUCAGCAUUCAGUAGGGCUUCUGAACCUCGCUUAGUACGUGCCUUGACUCAGUAAAAAACCAAAUAAUUGC